rnacentral:rRNA from 1 species
GAUGAACGCUGGCGGCGUGCCUAAUACAUGCAAGUCGAGCGAAUGACGAGGAGCUUGCUCCUCUGAUUUAGCGGCGGACGGGUGAGUAACACGUGGGUAACCUGCCUGUAAGACGGGGAUAACUCCGGGAAACCGGAGCUAAUACCGGAUGAUAACGAGAAGCGCCUGCUUCUUUUUUGAAAGUCGGUUUCGGCUGACGCUUACAGAUGGGCCCGCGGCGCAUUAGCUAGUUGGUGAGGUAACGGCUCACCAAGGCAACGAUGCGUAGCCGACCUGAAGGGGUGGUCGGCCACACUGGGACUUAGACACGGCCCAGACUCCUACGGGAGGCAGCGGUAGGGAAUCUUCGGCAAUGGACGAAAGUCUGACCGAGUAACGCCGCGUGAGCGAUGAAGGCCUUCGGGUCGUAAAGCUCUGUUGUCAGAGAAGAACAAGUACCGGAGUAACUGCCGGUACCUUGACGGUACUUGACCAGAAAGCCACGGCUAACUACGUGCCAGCCGCCGCAGUAA